AUUGAACGCUGGCGGCAUGCCUUACACAUGCAAGUCGAACGGCAGCGGGGGAGAAGCUUGCUUUUCCUGCCGGCGAGUGGCGAACGGGUGAGUAAUACAUCGGAACGUGCCCUGUAGUGGGGGAUAACUAGUCGAAAGAUUAGCUAAUACCGCAUACGACCUGAGGGUGAAAGUGGGGGACCGCAAGGCCUCAUGCUAUAGGAGCGGCCGAUGUCUGAUUAGCUAGUUGGUGGGGUAAAGGCCUACCAAGGAGACGAUCAGUAGCUGGUCUGAGCGGACGAUCAGCCAACAUGGGACUGAGACACGGCCCAGACUCCUACGGGAGGCAGCAGUGGGGAAUUUUGGACACUGGGCGAAAGCCUGAUCCAGCAAUGCCGCGUGUGUGAAGAAGGCCUUCGGGUUGUAAAGCACUUUUGUCCGGAAAGAAAUGGCUCUGGUUAAUACCUGGGGUCGAUGACGGUACCGGAAGAAUAAGGACCGGCUAACUACGUGCCAGCCGCCGCGGUAA
rnacentral:rRNA from 1 species